rnacentral:rRNA from 1 species
UUGACCUCGGAUCAGGUAGGAAUACCCGCUGAACUUAAGCAUAUG